rnacentral:lncRNA from 1 species
CAUAAAUCCACAAUUCAUCGGAUCUCGACAAACACAUCGCAAAAGAACAUUACAUCGGAUAGAUCUCCAUGAAGAUCAUGGAGAACUUUGUAUUGAAGAUCCAAGAAAGAGAAGAAGCCAUCUAGCUACUAGCUAUGGACCCGUAGGUCUAUGGUGAACUACUCACGCAUCAUCGGAGAGGUCAUGGUGUUGAUGAAGAAGCCCUCCGUGUCUGAAUGGCCCCUUCGGCAGGGCACCAGAACGUGCCCCAGAUGGGAUCUUGCGGAGACAGAAGCUUGCGGCGGCGGAAAAGUACUUUCGAUGAUCUCCUCAUUUUUUCCGAGGUUUUAGGGAAUAUAUAGGCGGAAAACCUAGGGCAGAGGUGGCCCAGGGAGCCCACAAGCCUGGGAGGCGAGGGCCCCCCUCGCCGGGGUUAGGGGGUUGUGGGGUCCCUGGUGGCCCCCUACCUUGUUUCUCAAGCUUCCCGAUCUUCUUCUGUUUCGGAAAAAAUAUUUUUGGAAGUUUCAUUCCGUUUGGACUCCGUUUAAAAUCCUCCUCUGAAAGGGGUCAAAAACAUGGAAAAACAGGAACUGGCACAUGGCACUGAGUUAAUAAGUUAGUCCCAAAAAAUAUAUAAAAGGCAUACAAAACAUCCAAAGUUUGACAAUAUAAUAGCAUGAAACCAUCAAAAAUUAUAGAUACGUUGGAGACGUAUCACAUGACAGUAGAAAUUUUCCCUCAAGUGUAUGACCUAAGGUUUAUCAAUCCGUGGGAGGCAUAGGAUGAAGAUGGUCUCUCUCAAAGAACCCUGCAACUAAAGAAUAAAGAGUCUCUUGUGUCCCCAACACACCCAAUGCGAUGGUAAAUUGUAUAGGUGCACUAGCUCGGUGAAGAUAUGGUGAUACAAGUGUAAUAUGGAUGGUAGAAAUAUAUUUUUAUAAUCUGAAUAAAUAAAUACAACAAGGUAGUAAUUCAUAGAAUGUAGCACAAAUGGUAUUGCAAUGCUUGAAAAUGAGGCCCAGGGUCCAUACUUUCACUAGUGCAAUCUCUCAACAAUGCUAAUAUAAUUGGAAUCCUUCAACAUGCGAUAAAGAAUCGCUCCAUAGUUCCUAUCUAGCGAAGAACAUAAGAAGAAAUUGUUUGUAGGGUAGGAAACCACCUCAAAGUUAUUCUUUGUGAUCAAUCUUUCCAAGAGUUCGCACUACAAUAACAAGUUAUCCUUUCCGAUCUAUCUAUUUAAGAGUUCAUACUAAAAUAACACCAUUGAUACAUAUCAAUCAACCCUAAUGUCACCGAGAUACUCCAAUGUCACCUCAAGUAUCUGUGGGCUAAUUAUACGACAUGCAUCAACCAAUUUCAGAUUCUUCAUCUUCAAUCCAACACAAAGAACAUCAAGGAGCCCAUAAGAUUUCUAUCGGAGAACAUAGUAUGAAAAUGUGCAAUCAACCCCUAUGCAUAGAUCCCCAAGGUCACCGGAAUUCGCAAGUUGAUGCCAUAACAUAUAUCAAGUGAAUCAUUUGAAUACCCCAAUGUCAAUACGGGUAUACGCAUGCAAGACAUACAUCAUGUGCUCUCAAACCUGAAUAUUCAAUCCAAAAUAAUGAGAUCUUAAAGUGAAAGAUUCAAUUCAUCACAACAAUAUCAUGCGACAAACACCAUAUGAUCAAACUAUAUUAACAAGGACCAUGAUAUAUCAAGAUCAUGACAUCUCAAGAACACGAGAGAGGGAGAUAUUAAACAAAUAGCUACUGGUACAAACUCUCCACCCCGAGGGUGGACUAUUUCCUCAUCAUCAUGGCCUCCGCUGGGAUGAUGAAGAUGGACGCCGGAGACAAUCUCCCCCUCUGGCAGGGUUCCAGAACGGGCUUCGGAUUGGUUUUGAAUGGCUACAGAGGCUUGUGG